UCGAAGCAACGCGAAGAACCUUACCAGGUCUUGACAUCCUCUGACAACCCGAGAGAUCGGGCGUUCCCUUCGGGGACAGAGUGACAGGUGGUGCAUGGUUGUCGUCAGCUCGUGUCGUGAGAUGUUGGGUUAAGUCCCGCAACGAGCGCAACCCUUGAUCUUAGUUGCCAGCAUUCAGUUGGGCACUCUAAGGUGACUGCCGGUGACAAACCGGAGGAAGGUGGGGAUGACGUCAAAUCAUCAUGCCCCUUAUGACCUGGGCUACACACGUGCUACAAUGGACGGUACAAAGAGUCGCAAGACCGCGAGGUGGAGCUAAUCUCAUAAAACCGUUCUCAGUUCGGAUUGUAGGCUGCAACUCGCCUACAUGAAGCUGGAAUCGCUAGUAAUCGCGGAUCAGCAUGCCGCGGUGAAUACGUUCCCGGGCCUUGUACACACCGCCCGUCACACCACGAGAGUUUGUAACACCCGAAGUCGGUGGGGUAACCCUUACGGGAGCCAGCCGCCUAAGGUGGG
rnacentral:rRNA from 1 species